rnacentral:ncRNA from 1 species
CCUCAUGAUUCUUACCCUACCUGGUGUGGGGACAGCAGCAGGUGGAGAGUUCGACUGGAGCAGUACACCAGUCCAGGCAUAAUGCAGAUGUCUUAAGGUGAGCUUACAGAGAACAGCAAUCUCCCUUGGAGCAGAAGGGCAAAAGCUCACUUGAUCUUCAUUUUCAGGAUGAAUACAGACCAUGAAAGCAGAGCCUAAUGAUCCUUCUGGCUUUUUGGAUUUUAAGGAGGUGUCAGAAAAGUUGCCACAGGAAAAAGAGGCUUGUGGCAGUCAAGUGUUCAUCGUGGUGUUGCUUUUUGAACCUUUGAUGUUCUAUCUUCCUAUAAUUGUCAAGGAGAAUGCAUGAAGGAUUGGCUUGUUCACCCUCUGUGAUUUGGAUGUGAGUUGUGAUUAUACUGUUGUGAGAUGGGUUAGUU